rnacentral:rRNA from 1 species
GAUGAAUGCUGACAGAACGAUUAACACAUGCAAGACUAGUUUAUCCUUCGGGUGAUGGUGGCGGACGGGUGAGUAACGCGUAAAGAACUUGCCCUGCAGUCUGGGACAAAAUUUGGAAACGAAUGUUAAUACCGGAUAUUUUGUGAGUUUCGCAUGAAAUCCAUAUGAAAGCUAUAUGCGCUGCAGGAGAGCUUUGCGUCCUAUUAGCUAGUUGGUGAGGUAACGGCUCACAAAGGCGAUGAUAGGUAGCCGGCCUGAGAGGGGGAACGGCCACAAGGGGACUGCGACCCGGCCCUUACUCCGACGGGAGGCAGCAGUGGGGAAUAUUAGACAAUGGACCAAAAUUCUGAUCCAGCAAUUCUGUGUGCACGAUGAAGUUUUUCGGAAUGUAAAGUGCUUUCAGUUGGGACGAAGUAAGUGACGGUACCAACAGAAGAAGCGACGGCUAAAUACGUGCCAGCAGCCGCGGUAA